rnacentral:lncRNA from 1 species
AUGCAUAGGGGCUCCAUUCUAGACAAGAUAUAUAUGAUACCUUUUAUUUUUUCUUUAGGUCUUGUCUACUUCUCUACUUCUCUAUCUUGCUGGGUUCCUCAGGAGGCUGCACAGUAUGAACAAUCCCUGUGGAUAACUUUGCUCUUCGGAAGAGUAGAAGGCAGACCAGAUGCCAUGCCAGGCUGGAAGCUGGGAAAGCAGAAAGAAACAGUUCACUCCUAAUGAAAAUUGCAAGCCAGACCAAAAAAAGGGUGUCAGGAUAUGACAUCAGGAAACUGAGGAGGCUGAGUUUUGUGGGAUGGCACGAAGUAUCAGAGGAAGAAGACUUGCUUUUCUGACAUGAACAUGCCAUCACUUGCUCUCAGAUACUGACUGACACCAGGAAAGAGAUUUUUCCAUAAUGUCUGUCCUAGUGGUAAAAGUCUAUGAAAACUUCAGACAAUGUUAUGAGCCAUUCUCAGUCCAGACUCUUGCCAGGCAUUGGAUGUGAGCCCUUGUCUAUUCCCUAGUUAUACUGUCUCUCCCAGUCCUUCAGCUCAUGAAGUCAUAGCCUGGAUUUCCCCUUUUCUGGAAAUAAAAGUGCUCCAACAUUGAUUUUCCUAUGUGAUGUCCUUUUCUGAAGGCUACAGCUGAAUUUCUAUCUAUUGGAAGAUAGAAAUCGGCCCUCAGAUUCCAUCUCUUUGCCUCUGAUCCACUCCCCUGAACUCCACUGCCUUAUUUCUGAAUGAGCUUCCCUCUCUUCCACCCAGCACCAUUCCUGUCUGUGUUUAUGACCAUCCUCCUUCUCUUCCUCACUCCGUGAGACAGAUUUCUCUAGCUUGCUAUUCUCCCUCCAUUUCUGGGGUCAUGACAUGGAGAGCAUCUUAGUUUCUUAGCAUUUUUGGAAAAACGCAGCUACUAGGUUUGUGUUUGUUUAGAUGGAGUACUUCUUUAUACUGAGAUUUAGGUAAGAUUCAAAGUGAAAGAUCAGUGGAAGAAGAAAUGUAAAUGUUAAAGGACAAUAAGUCACAAGAGAUACAGGUCAUGGUGAGUCAGUACCCGAUGGUGCCGAGGUGGC